GACGAACAAUUAAGCAAAAUCGACGAGCAACAGAGAAAAAUCGACGAACAACAGAGCAAAAUCGACAAGCAACAGAGCAAAAUCGACGAGCAACAGAGCAAAAUCGACGAACAACAGAGCAAAGUCGACUAACAAUUGAGCAAAAUCCAUGAACAAUUGAGCAAAAUCGACGAACAAUUGAGCAAAAUCGAUGAACAAUUGAGCAAAAUCGACGAACAAUUGAGCGCACAAAUGAAAUUGAGAGAAGAAGAAAAAGGCGAAAGUUGACCUUCGGGUGAUGUCGUAGAAGAAAAAGGCGGGUCAAAUGAAAUCGACGAACAAUUGAGCUCAUCGAGCCAGCGGGGAACACUGUCAAAAGUUGACCUUCGGGUGAUGUCGUAGACGACGAGUGCGCCGAACGCGCCGCGGUAGUAGGCGGAAGUUUAUCCUUGAACAACCUCCGGUUUAUGGCGGCGAAGAUUUGCUCCGCCUCCAUCGCCGCCGUCCUCACAAUCCCUGGUUGCAGUCAUCUGAGACUCUCCAUGGCGGCAGCGAAUAUGGAGUAUUGAAAUUUUGGUUGGGAUGGGAUCUUGGCUGAGCCUUGGGAUGGGUUGGAUUUUGGGAGGGGGUGGGUUACAGCUCUUUUCUUUUUUUUAAAGCUUUAAUUUUUU
rnacentral:lncRNA from 1 species